UGAAAUCUGGCCCCGUCGGGGUCCGAGUUGUAAUUUGUAGAGAGUGUUUCGGGUGAGACCACGGUCUAAGUCCAUUGGAACAUGGCGUCAUAGAGGGUGAGAAUCCCGUAUGUGACUGUGGCUCGAGCCCAUGUGAAGCCUCUUCGACGAGUCGAGUUGUUUGGGAAUGCAGCUCAAAAUGGGUGGUAAAUUUCAUCUAAAGCUAAAUACUGGCUGGAGACCGAUAGCGCACAAGUAGAGUGAUCGAAAGAUGAAAAGCACUUUGGAAAGAGAGUCAAAAAGUACGUGAAAUUGUUGAAAGGGAAGCGCUUGCAACCAGACCUGUCCGUAGGUGAUCAGCCGCUGUUCUCAGUGGUGCACUCGCUCUGCGAUCAGGCCAGCAUCGGUUCCGGCGGUCGGAUAAAGGCCUUGGGAAUGUAGCUUCCUUCGGGGAGUCUUAUAGCCCUCGGUGCAAUGCGGCCAGCCGGGACCGAGGACCGCGCUUCGGCUAGGAUGCUGGCGUAAUGGUUGUAAGCGACCCGUCUUGAAACACGGACCAAGGAGUCUAACAUCUAUGCGAGUGUUUGGGUGUUAAACCCAUGCGCGGAAUGAAAGUGAACGGAGGUGAGAACCCUUUAGGGCGCAUCAUCGACCGAUCCAGAUGUCUUCGGAUGGAUUUGAGUAUGAGCAUAGCUGUUGGGACCCGAAAGAUGGUGAACUAUGCCUGAAUAGGGUGAAGCCAGAGGAAACUCUGGUGGAGGCUCGCAGCGGUUCUGACGUGCAAAUCGAUCGUCAAAUUUGGGCAUAGGGGUAAGCGUCCGGCUUUUGAUUUUAGAGAUACCUGGAUUUGAUGCUAACUUUUUAAAUAGGCGAAAGACUAAUCGAACCAUCUAUAGGUGGUUAAUAAAAGUACCUGUUUCUCAAAUACUUUCAGUCCUUCGGGGCGACAUCACUACUUGCAUGAACAAACCCUUAGGUUGACAUGCUGCAGUUCUUCUCACUCGUGUGGGUCCUGUUCACAGACCAAAUAGUGGUGGCCGGGCUGUUCUUUUUAGGAAUGCUUGGUUUAGAAAUGGCCGAGUCCUACUCUUAAUNGAGUCGGUCCUGAGACGGNGGUUAUAUUCCCAUUGCUNACAAGUGCGGUGAAUGCUUGCCUCUCGGGGCAG
rnacentral:rRNA from 1 species